rnacentral:rRNA from 1 species
GACGAACGCUGGCGGCGUGCCUAAUACAUGCAAGUAUAACGCAGUUGCGAACGGGUGAGUAACGCGUAGGUAACCUGCCUCAUAGCGGGGGAUAACUAUUGGAAACGAUAGCUAAUACCGCAUACUGUGAGAUGGUCCUGCGUUGUAUUAGCUAGUUGGUGAGGUAAAGGCUCACCAAGGCGCCGAUACAUAGCCGACCUGAGAGGGGGAUCGGCCACACUGGGACUGAGACACGGUCCAGACUCCUACGGGAGGCAGCAGUGGGGAAUAUUGCACAAUGGGCGCAAGCCUGAUGCAGCCAUGCCGCGUGUAUGAAGAAGGCCUUCGGGUUGUAAAGUACUUUCAGCGAGGAUGCGUUACUCGCAGAAGAAGCACCGGCUAACUCCGUGCCAGCAGCCGCGGUAAUUC